CCUACGGGCGGCUGCAGUAAGGAAUAUUGGACAAUGGGCGCAAGCCUGAUCCAGCCAUGCCGCGUGAAGGAUGAAGGCCCUAUGGGUUGUAAACUUCUUUUAUACGGGACAAAACCCCUCUACGUGUAGAGGGUUGAUGGUACUGUAAGAAUAAGCAUCGGCUAACUUCGUGCCAGCAGCCGCGGUAAUACGAAGGAUGCAAGCGUUAUCCGGAAUUAUUGGGUUUAAAGGGUGCGUAGGCGGACCUAUAAGUCAGUGGUGAAAGCCCCAAGCUCAACUUGGGAACUGCCAUUGAUACUGUUGGUCUUGAGUACAGUUGAGGUAGGCGGAAUGUGUCAUGUAGCGGUGAAAUGCUUAGAUAUGACACAGAACACCGAUUGCGAAGGCAGCUUGCUAAGCUGUAACUGACGCUGAUGCACGAAAGCGUGGGUAGCAAACAGGAUUAGAUACCCCAGUAGUC
rnacentral:rRNA from 1 species